rnacentral:misc_RNA from 1 species
GAUGAAGAACGUAGCGAAAUGCGGUACGUAGUGUGAAUUGCAGAAUUCAGUGAAUCAUCGAAUCUUUGAACGCACAUUGCACCUCUCGGUAUUCCGGGAGGUAUGCCUGUUCGAGCGUCAUUUGUACCCUCAAGCUCUGCUUGGUGUUGGGUGUUUGUUCCGCCUCUGUGUGUGAACUCGCCUCAAAACAAUUGGCAGCCGGCGUACUUGUUUCGGAGCGCAGCACAUUUUGCGAUCCAGAUCAACGUACAGCGGCAUCCAAGAAGCCUUAUUUAACGCUCUUGACCUCGGAUCAGGUAGGGAUACCCGCUGAACUUAAGCAUAUCAAUAAGCGGAGGA